CUCCCCCCGCGCCGGCCGCGCUCGGGGUAAACAAGGUGAGACGUCCUUCCGCAGCCCUGCUGAGCCGUGCCGGGGGCUCGGGGGCGGCCCGCCGGGUCGGGGCCCCGAGGGUGUGCCGGUGUGCGCCGGUGUGCCUGUGUGUCCACCAGUGUGAGCAGCGCUGUGCAGCGGUGGGAUGCUGGCCGCGGCUCCCCGGCUGACAGAGCUCCGGCAGGUCCAGCCUCUCGGGGGAUUGCCCUUGCGGCUGGGGCUCCAUUCACAGAUGUAAAGGGAUAAACCACCUUAAGACCAUUUCUGACUCUUCAGCAUGGGUCAUUAACUUACCUGGAACUGACUCCAGUUGAACAAGAGCAGGACUUGAGAAGGACUACAUAGAAAAGACAUCCAGCUUUAUCACAGGGCAACAGCGAAUGUCCAUGGCAGAAGACAUGAACAGUGCAAGCACAUAAUCGCACAGCCUCAGAGCGGUCUCUCCAGCUCCUCUCCCAAUGACUUGCAGCCCACUUGCUUGCUGAACAAAGACAAUAUACGUUCAAUAUUGAGAGCAGCUGGCAACACAGAGUAAUGCCAGAGCCCACCUCCAAGGGGAUGCAGUCUGUGAAAAAAAAGGCUGGACUAGAAAGAGUGAGCUCAGCCUUCCUGCAAGCUUUUUGGAGAUUCAGAGGUAUCCUUGUCUCCUUUUGUUCUUGAAAAUGAAGUAUGUAAGCACCUAAGUGGAAAUCAGAGUCACCUUAGGCUCUGUCAGUAGCCAGCAAUGGCCCUCCUUAAGGAUAAGUUAAAUACUAGGUGAGCUGAAAGGAAGUUUUCUGUCUCUUUCUGACAACAAUAGGUUAACAUUUUCUAUUGUUAAGCACCUGAUUUAAGUAUCUGCAAUGAGAUGGGAUAAUUCCAGACUUCAGUUUGUAGGCUUUCUUUGUUGAAUUGUAGACUGUGCAGUUUUGCAAGCAGAGAGAAAGCAGAGUUAUAUAGUAUCACCUAGGCUGGAACACUGGCUAUUUGAAGCAUGUUAUAGCUGAUCUAUAAUUCACAUGCUUAUUUUGACAGGCUGGCUCUUGUUAGUUUUCAAUGGGUGUGGGAGGAAAUAGCAGUGCAUAAAACUUGCACAUUACUAAUACCAUUGCCAUAUAAAACAAAUAUUUGAAUAGGAAGUUUCAGAAAUGAUUCAGUGCUCUAACUACAGAAUAUCCUACAGGAAUUUUUUAUAGUAACAAAAUUAAUGAAAAGCAAAUCCUAUUUCACCAUGGGCAUAGGGUGGUCCCAAUGCAGCAGAGCCAAUGUGAUACUCCAUCUCAGGGAUAGAAAAAGCAGCCUCUACAGAUUGCUGGCCCCCUGGGUGACUGAAGCUUGCUUUGAAAGGACUCCUUGAGCUGAGAGGUUGCUAUAUGCUUUUUAAGUGACUGCACCAGAUCGUGUGUGGGUGCAGCAGACAGGGGCUAAAAGCCCUGAGCUGCAAUACAGAAGCAAUUGAAAGACACUCUGUUGUUGCUGCUCUACCAACUGCAAAGGAAAACUCUUCCCACCCCUGCAGACUAUAUAUUCUAACCACAUCCUUUGAAGGUACUGAAGUUAUUCACUCACUUAGCCCACAGUUUUCUCAACAUUAAGUCAUAACUUGAAAGCUAUGGGGUGAGGAGAUAAUUGUUACGUCAGUAACAACAUUUCAUUGAGACACUGUCAUAAGCGAAGGAUUUCUAGGUGCUGAAAAUGUCAUAUGACCGCCAAACAAAGAAGCCAAAAUAUAACUUUAAAAAUAACCACCUUUGCACCAUGGAUUUUUAGUUCGCUGGGAACAAUUUGCACGACACUUAGUCUCAGUUCUCUUUCUUAUCUGCAGUAUGACUGUUCCUCUGUAGUUGGGAACAGCCUGCAAAGUUUGACACAGAUGCUGUGUCUUCUCGUGUUUUGUGCUGACUUUAUCACAAAAUAACUUGGAGUUUUCUCAGUUUGUGUCUCAGAUCUCUAUUGGAAAAUGGGGGAAAAGCACUUCGUUAACUCCUGGAGGACUGUGAUUGUUUCAGAUGCAACAGUAAAAAGGAGACACAUGAAUUUGUGAAGAUGAAACAAAUUUGAUACAUCCCUGGCACCGCUUUGGCAACCCUUACUAUGUGCAGUGACACAACAUUGUCUGGGAACUUCAGCAGCUUGGCCAAGGAAAAUUUCUAUUAUUUUCAAUUUCCAGUAACUUUUAAAAUGUUGAUGAGUGUAUGAUAGGUUUUCGACUCCGGAAAAUCCACCUCAGACUGAAGAAUCCCCUUUGUCUUUUUGAAAGAGGAAAAGCCUGCAUGUCAUGUCUGCUUUGUUCCUAGAAUCACUUUUAGACUGAAAUGUAUACCACUAUUUUUUACUUGUAUCUAUUUUAAAGAUCACAUAUAUAUGAUACUGUAACAGGUGGGGUUAUUUAUACACAUGGAAAAAGAUGUUAGAUCUCUAAGUUGUUCAAGAUCUUAAAAUAACUUGUGUACUGAAGGAAUCCUUUCUGUUAACCUUAGAAAAGGGUGGAGGUGUGGGGAGAAAAUGAACAUAAAGUUGUUUUAUUUGUCUCACAAGGCAUGAAUGAAUAACUGUUGUCAUCUAAUCUUUCUAUGUGGGUCUCCAGUCUGUUAUUUCCUGGGAUUUCAUGUUGUUUAUUUUUCCUGGCUUCCUCAGCUAAGAUGGACAAAUGGUUAUUGAACAGAGAAGUUUUAAAUUUUAAAAGUGCAAUAGAUUUGAGAAGUGAAUAUUUUUUCCCAGUCUUAGGUAUGUGGAAAUUAUUGAAAACAAUACUAAGACUAAAGUAAAGAGGUGUUCCUUAAAAGCGUGUAACAUCCUGCAGCGGUGAUGCAACAGUUCACAAGACUGACUGAAUAGCCAGGUGUAAUUCUGAUCCCUCUACUUUACCAGGCUGUGACACUGGCAGACUUCCAGAAUAAGCCAAUUUCAGAAGAGUGGAGCCUCCAAAUAUGAUCUUUUGUCAGUCACAGAGAUUUCAGCUCCAGGAAAAGAAAGAUUCAUCUGGCAGAUUAUAAUCACUACUGUACGAGAUGGUGAAAGAAGUGAUCUUUCCCUAAGCGGGAUGCCAGCUACUCCAGGACCAGUCAACACCCUGAGCUGUGCUGGGAAGCAGCGGUGACUUAGCUCAAGUAUCACCAUGUCUCAUCCCACUCUUGUGAUGCAAACCACUGUUUUUUCAAUAGGUGCUACAACGGCAACUCCCAACCUGUGCUGAAACAAUUGAAAUGCUUCAGAGUUUCCAGAGCCAUCCCCAUUCUGGGCUUUCACAGAGCGAAAUCAGCAGUAGGGCUGACAGUCACAUCUGAUUUUUGGGCUCUUACUGCAGGACAGACCAGCCAUCCCCAGACCAGUUCCUAGGGAAUGCUCUGCUCUGUCCAUCCCAUCGUGGGGUAACAGCUAGAGGUUUCCAUGGCUCAGUCUGGACAGUGUGUUGCACUACAUCAAGGCUUCAGCUUGCAAAAUCGUGGUCAGAGGGAAAGUUUAUAACCAAGAGGUGCAGUAGCAUCUCUCAGCUCCCCUGCUGUUUUUAUCUCCAUGGGAUCCAGUGCCAGCUUGCAGAAAGAGGGGAGUUUGGGAAAAGGUUGGUUUUAAAUAACCAUGGGCAGUUCCUCAACAUAAGGUGUGGGACCCAGAACCAGAAUGUCUGCAUUAAAUCAAAUAACCCUGAUACACUGGCUAGCUGUGAUAAUAAAUAGACCUGAAUGUAUUUCAAAAUAACUAAAAGACUGUUGUUAUUUAGGUAGAGUGAUCUUCAUAACCUUUUUCUAACCUGACUAAUCAACCUCCCAAAUUUUCUCUCCUUUCUAGUUUUAGAAAAUCAUAUAAAGGAGUAUACUGUGUCUGUGACAAACCUGUCACUUGGGUGGUCCUGAUAAUAGGAUACUUUGUUAGAUAUGAGCUUUGGUUUUGGUGCAUUCUGUGGCUCCUGCCAACACCCUAAGAAGAUUACCAUUUCUGGUAAGGGCUCAAAACAUUAAAGGAAAACUAAAAAGAGAGCAAGUUCUUUCAAGAGAAUAAAGCUGAUGCUGUGGGCAAUUGGAAGGAACUACAUCAGCUUUCAGAGAUUAAAGAGAAAAACUGCAAAGAAGAUUUACCAGUUGAAACUCUGUGUCAUUAGAGAUCCCCUUUUUUGCCAUCAAAAUAAAAUUAAUUUAAAAAAUGAAGCUGUAUGUGUGUUUGCUUAGGAGUAGGAACAAGCAACCAUUCCUCCACCUACCGCUCAUCUGCUGCUUUAUAUAAUGAAUGACUACUCAUUUUUAACAUUUUUCGUAUCUUACCUAAAUUUAAAAAAAUGAAAGGGCAAUAUUCAUUCAAAGAAACAGCUGCCCAUCUUGAUACCUGUAAUUAUCUAUUAUAACUUACUAUUAUGGGCAAAAAUGUAAUAGUCUAGCAGUCAGUAGUUCCUUAUUACAAUUAUGAGCAAAGUUAGUUGAGUGUCUGAUAUUAAGGUUGACUAACUCUGUUAGUCAAGGGGAAUGUUGUUUUUUGUUGUUUAUAACCUUAUCAGACUCCAACAAAUUGAAUUGAAAAUACCCCUGCCAGGAACCUGUCUCAGCCUCAUUUUACGUGUUUCCUUUUGGAAAAUUUCAGUUUAAAUGGUGCUUUGGACAAAAAAAAAAAAAAAAAAAAAAAGACAAUGGACUCUGUGUUUGGCCUCCUGUCAUUCGUGGCUCUCUAAGCCCAGUGCUUAAACAGCAAAAAAAAGCAAGAGAGAGAAUUCUUUUUUCCUACCACUGGAGAAAUAUUUUUGGUGGCCCCAUGAAACAAACCUACCUGGCCUACCCUAGUACUACUAAAAUAUAAGACCUAAGUUCACUGAAGAGGCCUCUGCAAUGACCAUGUUCUGCCAAGAGCUACUGAGGCUAAGCAGGAUUUUCUGCACAUUAACAGGGGAGGUUGUAGAAGCGCUAGGCAGGAGCCAUUCCCCCUUCUCCCUUCUGGGCUCUCCUGUCAUUCUACAUUAUCAGAUACGUAUAAAAUGACAGUAA